UUAAGCGACUAAGCGUACACGGUGGAUGCCCUGGCAGUCAGAGGCGAUGAAGGACGUGCUAAUCUGCGAUAAGCGUCGGUAAGGUGAUAUGAACCGUUAUAACCGGCGAUUUCCGAAUGGGGAAACCCAGUGUGAUUCGUCACACUAUCAUUAACUGAAUCCAUAGGUUAAUGAGGCGAACCGGGGGAACUGAAACAUCUAAGUACCCCGAGGAAAAGAAAUCAACCGAGAUUCCCCCAGUAGCGGCGAGCGAACGGGGAGCAGCCCAGAGCCUGAAUCAGUGUGUGUGUUAGUGGAAGCGUCUGGAAAGGCGCGCGAUACAGGGUGACAGCCCCGUACACAAAAAUGCACAUGCUGUGAGCUCGAUGAGUAGGGCGGGACACGUGGUAUCCUGUCUGAAUAUGGGGGGACCAUCCUCCAAGGCUAAAUACUCCUGACUGACCGAUAGUGAACCAGUACCGUGAGGGAAAGGCGAAAAGAACCCCGGCGAGGGGAGUGAAAAAGAACCUGAAACCGUGUACGUACAAGCAGUGGGAGCACAGAGCAAUCUGUGUGACUGCGUACCUUUUGUAUAAUGGGUCAGCGACUUAUAUUCUGUAGCAAGGUUAACCGAAUAGGGGAGCCGAAGGGAAACCGAGUCUUAACUGGGCGUUAAGUUGCAGGGUAUAGACCCGAAACCCGGUGAUCUAGCCAUGGGCAGGUUGAAGGUUGGGUAACACUAACUGGAGGACCGAACCGACUAAUGUUGAAAAAUUAGCGGAUGACUUGUGGCUGGGGGUGAAAGGCCAAUCAAACCGGGAGAUAGCUGGUUCUCCCCGAAAGCUAUUUAGGUAGCGCCUCGUGAAUUCAUCUCCGGGGGUAGAGCACUGUUUCGGCAAGGGGGUCAUCCCGACUUACCAACCCGAUGCAAACUGCGAAUACCGGAGAAUGUUAUCACGGGAGACACACGGCGGGUGCUAACGUCCGUCGUGAAGAGGGAAACAACCCAGACCGCCAGCUAAGGUCCCAAAGUCAUGGUUAAGUGGGAAACGAUGUGGGAAGGCCCAGACAGCCAGGAUGUUGGCUUAGAAGCAGCCAUCAUUUAAAGAAAGCGUAAUAGCUCACUGGUCGAGUCGGCCUGCGCGGAAGAUGUAACGGGGCUAAACCAUGCACCGAAGCUGCGGCAGCGACACUAUGUGUUGUUGGGUAGGGGAGCGUUCUGUAAGCCUGCGAAGGUGUGCUGUGAGGCAUGCUGGAGGUAUCAGAAGUGCGAAUGCUGACAUAAGUAACGAUAAAGCGGGUGAAAAGCCCGCUCGCCGGAAGACCAAGGGUUCCUGUCCAACGUUAAUCGGGGCAGGGUGAGUCGACCCCUAAGGCGAGGCCGAAAGGCGUAGUCGAUGGGAAACAGGUUAAUAUUCCUGUACUUGGUGUUACUGCGAAGGGGGGACGGAGAAGGCUAUGUUGGCCGGGCGACGGUUGUCCCGGUUUAAGCGUGUAGGCUGGUUUUCCAGGCAAAUCCGGAAAAUCAAGGCUGAGGCGUGAUGACGAGGCACUACGGUGCUGAAGCAACAAAUGCCCUGCUUCCAGGAAAAGCCUCUAAGCAUCAGGUAACAUCAAAUCGUACCCCAAACCGACACAGGUGGUCAGGUAGAGAAUACCAAGGCGCUUGAGAGAACUCGGGUGAAGGAACUAGGCAAAAUGGUGCCGUAACUUCGGGAGAAGGCACGCUGAUAUGUAGGUGAAGCGACUUGCUCGUGGAGCUGAAAUCAGUCGAAGAUACCAGCUGGCUGCAACUGUUUAUUAAAAACACAGCACUGUGCAAACACGAAAGUGGACGUAUACGGUGUGACGCCUGCCCGGUGCCGGAAGGUUAAUUGAUGGGGUCAGCGCAAGCGAAGCUCUUGAUCGAAGCCCCGGUAAACGGCGGCCGUAACUAUAACGGUCCUAAGGUAGCGAAAUUCCUUGUCGGGUAAGUUCCGACCUGCACGAAUGGCGUAAUGAUGGCCAGGCUGUCUCCACCCGAGACUCAGUGAAAUUGAACUCGCUGUGAAGAUGCAGUGUACCCGCGGCAAGACGGAAAGACCCCGUGAACCUUUACUAUAGCUUGACACUGAACAUUGAGCCUUGAUGUGUAGGAUAGGUGGGAGGCUUUGAAGUGUGGACGCCAGUCUGCAUGGAGCCGACCUUGAAAUACCACCCUUUAAUGUUUGAUGUUCUAACGUUGACCCGUAAUCCGGGUUGCGGACAGUGUCUGGUGGGUAGUUUGACUGGGGCGGUCUCCUCCUAAAGAGUAACGGAGGAGCACGAAGGUUGGCUAAUCCUGGUCGGACAUCAGGAGGUUAGUGCAAUGGCAUAAGCCAGCUUGACUGCGAGCGUGACGGCGCGAGCAGGUGCGAAAGCAGGUCAUAGUGAUCCGGUGGUUCUGAAUGGAAGGGCCAUCGCUCAACGGAUAAAAGGUACUCCGGGGAUAACAGGCUGAUACCGCCCAAGAGUUCAUAUCGACGGCGGUGUUUGGCACCUCGAUGUCGGCUCAUCACAUCCUGGGGCUGAAGUAGGUCCCAAGGGUAUGGCUGUUCGCCAUUUAAAGUGGUACGCGAGCUGGGUUUAGAACGUCGUGAGACAGUUCGGUCCCUAUCUGCCGUGGGCGCUGGAGAACUGAGGGGGGCUGCUCCUAGUACGAGAGGACCGGAGUGGACGCAUCACUGGUGUUCGGGUUGUCAUGCCAAUGGCACUGCCCGGUAGCUAAAUGCGGAAGAGAUAAGUGCUGAAAGCAUCUAAGCACGAAACUUGCCCCGAGAUGAGUUCUCCCUGACUCCUUGAGAGUCCUGAAGGAACGUUGAAGACGACGACGUUGAUAGGCCGGGUGUGUAAGCGCAGCGAUGCGUUGAGCUAACCGGUACUAAUGAACCGUGAGGCUUAACCU
rnacentral:rRNA from 1 species